rnacentral:rRNA from 1 species
UACGUAGGGUGCAAGCGUUAAUCGGAAUUACUGGGCGUAAAGGGCGCGUAGGCGGCGCAACAAGUCACUUGUGAAAGCCCCCGGCUUAACUGGGGGAGGGUCAUUCGAUACUGUUUAACUUGAAGGCAGGAGAGGGUAGUGGAAUUCCCGGUGUAGAGGUGAAAUUCGUAGAUAUUAGGAAGAACACCAGUGGCGAAGGCGGCUCACUGGCUCGGUACUGACGCUGAGGCGCGAAAGCGUGGGGAGCAAACAGG